rnacentral:lncRNA from 1 species
UGGGGAGCCCCUGGCCCUUCCUCAAGGGCUAACCCGAGCCUUCUGCAGGACUGGACCUCGCCUCCCUGGCCCCCGGGGCCUAUCAGAGCGAGGGCCCGGAUGCGCCCAGUGACGUCACACCAGUCACUCCCCCCCACCCCCACAAUUCAGCCGUGGGACACGCAACUGUCCCCGACCGGGCGAAGAGCGCGUCGGCCCGGACCGCGUCUGCGCACGCGCACAGUCCGCUAAAGAGGCCGCUCUAGGCCCGCAGUCCGCCUCGUUGGCCUGGGCACGCGCGCGCACGCGCGCCGCCCGCCCGGCACGCCCGAGCGGGAGGGCUGUUCCCCGUGUAUCCCCACGUUCUUCUCACACAUCUCCGCGCAAACACGGCGCGGGCCGCGCUCCUGCGAGCGGGAAGCGGGGUCGCUCUUCCCCGGAAGGCUAACCGGCCCUCCCUCGGCGCUCACGGCCUCCGUCUGCUCGCGGCCCACGAUCCCCCGGCAUGGGGGCGUGUUUCCGGUGGCGAGGCUCGGAGCCCUCCGCCUUUCCUGCACCGGAAUGGCUCAGGCAACGCUUCUUCCUCCGCAGGCUAUUAGUUCUUCCCGUCGCCUCGUCCUAAGAGUACUGCAUUAAAAAAUAAAUAAAUAAAAUCCGGUUUGUUAUGCAAGCAGCAUCCCAACAGUACACAAUUAUAUCAAAAAUAGCUAAGCGAUUAAAAAAAAAAAGUCUGGCGUGGUUGAGGCAGGAGGAUUGCAGUGAAUUCUAAAUCCAGCCUGGGCUACGUAGUGAGACUGUUGUCUCAAAAACCACGGAGGGAAGGGAGGCGGAACAAUGGAGCGGAGUAGUCCGUACAUUUGGGAGGCUGAGUUUCAGUGGUGUGACUCCCUGGGUAACAGUCUGAAGAACUUGCCAGUGGCAGCACUUCACCUGGGAAGCAGCACUCAGGAGGCAGGUGGAUCUCUGUGAGUUCGAGGCCAGCCUGGUCUAUAUAAUGAGUUCCAGGACAGCCAGAGCUCCACGGUGGAACCCAAGAGUUAGACAGGGUUUCUCUGUGUAGCUUUGGAGCCUAUCCUGGCACCAGGAUGGCCUCCUGUGAGGAGCCGCACUCACAUUCGCCAUUACAAGAUGGUGCUGACAUCCGCUGCCGGAUCAAGUAAACAACGUUGGUUCUCAUGUGCCCAGUGUUUUUCCACUUGCCUAGUCUUGCGUCAUAUAGGGUGAUGAGUCCUCCACCUAUCCCAGCUGUACACGCACUGCUCGGAGCUUAUGAGCCUUUAUAAGGGGACGGGAUUCUUGGCUCGGGGUCUCCCUAAUCGGAAGCUGAUCAUCUCUCUCUCAAGAUGCAUUAAAGCUUUACUGCAGAAGGAUCCGAGUGUCCUGUGUCGUUCUUGCUGGCGAGACGAUCGCGUGGGACAGCCUCGAACUCACAGAGAUCCACC